ACCAUCCUUUUCUUGGGGUUGCACUAGUGUACAGUGAACACAUAGUGAGGGCAGUACUGCUAACCCCUACACACACAUUCACAUCAACUAGAGGUUUGCUCUAUAUGGGUGCAAUUUUUGGAAAA